UUUUCUAUGGUGUGUCCUUUUCUUAACCAUAUAAAUGGAAAACUAUUGAAGCAUUGAUGUAAAUAUGUACGUUGUUUGCACGCAAACCCGAUUCAUAGGUUGUUAAAUGCACAUUUUCUAGAGUUCUUCAUUAUUUGAUGCUCAUAAUGGAAUUUCUCCUCACGUUGAUGAACAAAGACAAAAUAACCCUACCUUUUCAUCUUAAAUUUAACGUGUGGAAUUAAGUUGGUUGAUAACAUCAAUCAUUUUAUGAAAUAUUGUUAUAUUUAGGGGUAAAAGUUUUGUUUAACAGAGAUCAUCGGGCUUCACUAACUAGGAGUUCAUACACACUGGGUCCCGCUGUAUACACUCAGUAUUGAAGGUUUGAAUUUAUCCUCAUCUUUGAUGUAUGGAUUAGAGGUUAGUCUUUGGUAGGAACAUACUUAAUGAGCCUUUCGGAAGACAAUGGAUUCAUGUGUAGUUAGUAUGAUUGAAAUGAAAUCAAAGUGUUAUGGAUUGAAAUGAAAUUCAAUGACUGUGAUUGAAAAUAAAUCCAUGUGUGAUCUAUAAGAAUGAUGGAAUUGACAUUGAAAGUUUAUAUGACAACAUUUAAAUAAAUGUUUAUAAAUGAUAAAUUUGAUUGGUUCUUUCUGCAUGGAUUAAGUAUGUUAUGGAAUUUCUUUUCAUUAGCUUAUCUUUGUUGUGUUGUGAAUUGCGAUGACUGUACUACGUACACGAGCACACGAUCAUACAUGUGUUGGAGGGCUUUGGGAUGCUAUUUUAAACCUUAUAUUGUAAAUAUUUGUAUUUCUACAAACUCUAAUAAUGUAUUAAAAAUGUUUUGGAAAACUCUAAGUUUGUAUAGAAAUAUGUAAAACUUAUAUUCUAAUAAUUAGAUGAAAUUAUUACAGUGUUAAUGUUCUUGCCGGUUGACUCUGGUGACAAGCUCUACUCCAGUCCGUCUAUUUUGGAAUCUGUUCUACGUCUUGUUGCACUGGAACGUGACUUCACUGAAACAUAGGGGGUCCUACCUGUUGAUCACACUCCGACGAUCAAGUCAGUAAGAGCCUACUAAAAUUCAAGAAGUAUUCAGUUUCAAUCUCAGAAACAACAUACAUUUAGCUGAGGUCUCAAACCCCUUUUAUAGCUUAUUUCUUAUAACAACUUUCUCUCAUGAGAAUCUAAUCUUAAUCAAAAGCAUACGUAAUAGAAAAACAUUUUGUUUAUGGGCACGUUCACUCAAGGUGUUACAACAGAAAAUAAUUUUAUCUCUAAUGAGCGCUUAAAAUAACAACAAAAAAACCACCUGCAAACGGGGCACCACUUAUCUUCAGGUGCUAACUACAGAAAAAUAUUAUGCUUACGUGGGCACUCUUACUCAUGGUGCAACGUUAUCUUUCACUAUGCAUGCAACUUAACCACUACGUGUUCUAAACACACACUUAAGUUACAAUAUAUUUACGUGACUUAACCACCACAUGUACUACAUGUACCCCUAGAUUAAGAGACACUCCUUACUAAUAACCUUAU
rnacentral:lncRNA from 1 species